AGAGUUUGAUCAUGGCUCAGAUUGAACGCUGGCGGCAUGCCUUACACAUGCAAGUCGAACGGUAACAGGUCUUCGGACGCUGACGAGUGGCGAACGGGUGAGUAAUACAUCGGAACGUGCCCAGUCGUGGGGGAUAACUACUCGAAAGAGUAGCUAAUACCGCAUACGAUCUGAGGAUGAAAGCGGGGGACCUUCGGGCCUCGCGCGAUUGGAGCGGCCGAUGGCAGAUUAGGUAGUUGGUGGGAUAAAAGCUUACCAAGCCGACGAUCUGUAGCUGGUCUGAGAGGACGACCAGCCACACUGGGACUGAGACACGGCCCAGACUCCUACGGGAGGCAGCAGUGGGGAAUUUUGGACAAUGGGCGAAAGCCUGAUCCAGCAAUGCCGCGUGCAGGAUGAAGGCCUUCGGGUUGUAAACUGCUUUUGUACGGAACGAAAAAGCUUCUCCUAAUACGAGAGGCCCAUGACGGUACCGUAAGGAUAAGCACCGGCUAACUACGUGCCAGCAGCCGCGGUAAUACGUAGGGUGCGAGCGUUAAUCGGAAUUACUGGGCGUAAAGCGUGCGCACGCGGUUAUGUAAGACAGAUGUGAAAUCCCCGGGCUCAACCUGGGAACUGCAUUUGUGACUGCAUGGCUAGAGUACGGUAGAGGGGGAUGGAAUUCCCGCCGUGUAACAUUGAAAUUG
rnacentral:rRNA from 1 species